UUAGAAAUAAAACGAAAGAAUAUGU
rnacentral:piRNA from 1 species